GCUCGAGAGAGAGAGAGACUAAUUCAAGAGAGAGAGAGAGAGCCCGAGAGCUCGGUGCUCUCAGACCCGAAGCACGACCCGACCGGCGCCACUCCUUCCGGCCACGGCACAGCGGCGGACCACUGGCAUCGUCUUCGUCUCGCUGUCGCCACAAACCUCCUAUGCUUGGAUCGUACAUGCACUGAACGGAGAAGGAGACUCGACGACUGAAAGCUUCGAGACUUCUCCGAAGAGGUCUGCAAUUUUCGGCCACCGUUUGGGCCACCUGUGGUAUGAAACCUCACCUCCUCGUCAUGCUCUACACCCCAAUACGAUUAGUUUUCCAAUUAGAUCGAGUUUUGACAUUUUGGUUUCUGGGUUGUUUCUGCCUACGUCGCUGUUCCUCGCUACCGGCGACUUCUCCGGCCUUCUGGGCUUGGUUUCUUGUUCGAUUGCAGAUUUGCAGGUCUAGGCGAGGUAUUAACUUUGAGUUUUUUGAUUUUGUUUUGACAUCUGAAUACUUAGGGUAAAGUAAUUGCAGAGAUACUUACUUAGGGUAAAGUAAUGGUUGUUUGACGUCGUUUCGAACCUGGAAGACUCAGAUCUACAAAAGCCUCCAACUUCCCAGGUUCGAUAUCGCCGGAUACACGACAUGCGUCACCGUCCCCUUUACUUUUAAGGCCUUAAGGUGAAUGAUUGAGGACUAUUCGUACAUCAGUAGCUCGCUAACAUACCCGAUCUAUCAAUUUAUGGCUUUUCUGGGUCUUAUGUGGUGGGAUUUUGUUAAUUUUCAGUUUGGGUGUUUUAUUAAGUUAAGAAUUGUGAAAUUUUAAUCUCUUGGGACUAGUUUAGUUUUUUGAAUGCUUCUCUCAGCCUCUAUUCGUAAUUACUUUCAUGCGUACUCCUUGCUUAACAUAUCUGACUCUUCUUCAUCAGGUGGCUUGAUCAAGAACUUGAGAAUUAUUGCAAAAUCUGGGACUUCAUGUCUCUUUUUCUGUUAUAUUGAAGUUUACAUUUGUUAUCUAUUUCGAAUGCAAUUGUUGGAAAUGUAAAAGUUAUUAGAACCUAUUGUUUGUUUAUUUGUCUUUAGUUUUUAUAAUAGUGCUUUUGUGUGAGGACCUUAUUGAUGUAGUUAAAUUAAUUAAUUAUAGUUUGCAGGGGUUGAUGUUAAACAAGGAAGGGUAUGCUUCUAUAGGAGGUGGUUCACCCUUGCGUAAGAUGACAGACGAGCAGGCAAAUGCACUGAAAAUGGCUUUGGAUAUAUGAAUCAAAGGACAUGCCGGUGAAUGUCUAUGUGGGAAUGCGGUACUGGUUCCCGUUCACUGAGGAAGUUUUUCAUCAAAUUAAGAGGGACAAAAUAACCAGAUUAAGAGGGACAGAAUAACCAAGGUAAUGUUCUUUCUCUCAAGAACAACUUGGGGUUGAGUCUAGAUAAGGAUCAAGUUUCCCAUCAAGAGUUGCUUGAGCUUCUUGCCUCUCGACUACAUGCUGCAAUUGAUAUCCCUGGAAACCAGUUGAGGGGGGGAACAUAUAUACAAGAUGCUGUUAACCUGCUUCCAACUCUUAAUCAAUGCCAUCCAUACAUUAGAUUCCGAUGGGUUGCUUUUCAAAUCUGAGCCUUCAAUGUUUGUUUGAUAGAGCAUAGAAAAGUUGCUAGAGAUAACAGAUGCAGCCAUGGAGAGGAACAUGAAGAGAUUUAUGUUUUCUGAUGUAUUUUAUUUAAAAUUGUAUACAAUGUGUACAGUUCAUUGUAUAAAUACGUGGUUGUAGGUGUUUGAAAUGUUUUUUUUUUUUAAUUUAUUCUCCAAAUUAAGCCACUGAUAUUGGUGGCAUUGAAAAAACACACUGAUUCUGUAACAGUGGGAAAGAUAAAGGUGUAUUGCUGCAUUGGGUUUUGGUAUGCCACUGAUGUUUUAUCAGUGUGGAUUGCCCCAAUAGCACCUACAAUAGAGGGCACUGAUUCUUCAUUAGUGGCUGCAUAGUGGCUAAUGCAAUUAGCCACU